rnacentral:rRNA from 1 species
UACAGAGACUGCAAGCGUUAUUCGGAUUCACUGGGCGUAAAGGGUGCGCAGGCGGCCAGAUGUGUCAGGUGUGAAAGCCCGGGGCUCAACCCCGGAAUUGCGCCUGAAACUGUCUGGCUAGAGUACUGGAGAGGGUAGCGGAAUUCACGGUGUAGCAGUGAAAUGCGUAGAUAUCGUGAGGAACACCAGAGGCGAAGGCGGCUACCUGGACAGUAACUGACGCUCAGGCACGAAAGCGUGGGGAGCAAAA